rnacentral:lncRNA from 1 species
UACGAAGUGACAAAACAGCAGUAACACCAUUAUGAAUUGACAAAACAGCAGUAACACCAUUACGAAGUGACAAAACAGCAGUAACACCUUUAUGAAGUGACAAAACAGCAGUAACACCUUCAUGAAGUGACAAAACAGCAGUAACACCAUUAUGAAGUGACAAAACAGCAGUAACACCAUUAUGAAGUGACAAAACAGCAGUAACACCUUUAUGAAGUGACAAAACAGCAGUAACACCUUUAUGAAGUGACAAAACAGCAGUAACACCUUUAUGAAGUGACAAAACAGCAGUAACACCAUUAUGAAGUGACAAAACAGCAGUAACCUUUAUAUGAUUCACAGCACUUUGUAUUUUAUAUGAUUCACAGCACUGUAUUUUAUAUGAUUCACAGCACUGUCUUUUAUAUGAUUCCCAGCACUGUCUUUUAUAUGAUUCCCAGAACUGUCUUUUAUAUGAUUCCCAGCACUGUCUUUUAUAUGAUUCCCAGAACUGUCUUUUAUAUGAUUCCCAGCACUGUCUUUUAUAUGAUUCCCAGCACUGUCUUUUAUAUGAUUCCCAGCACUGUCUUUUAUAUGAUUCCCAGAACUGUCUUUUAUAUGAUUCACAGCAGUGUAAACAGGCAGUAAAGAGGAUUUAUUUUUGAUAAUCCUAUGUGAAUGUUAGUCUGGGUACCCAGGCUAGGUAAAGCUAAUGUCACAGUGAAAUCUCAUUCUCAUGUCUAGACGCCCAGAUUCCUGCAGAACUAAUCAUUCCUGUUAUUGUUGUUAUUAUACAUGCUACGUGGUUUCAUCUCCUAAUAUUUAUUUUAAAGUGUAUAUUUAUUUAUUUAUUUUGUCUCUGAAUUUAACGUUUACGUUGAAAGUGUCAAAGAUAAAAUAGUGAACGCGGUAGACAUGGAACAAAACAUAAACCGUCUGUACAGAUCUAUAACUGGAUGGAUGGUUUAAAUUACAAUUAUUAAAUUACAUUUAUUAAAUUAAAUGUAUUAAAUUACAUGUAUUAAAUUACAUUUAUUAAAUUAAAUGUAUUAAAUUACAUGUAUUAAAUUACAUUUAUUAAAUUACUGGAUGGAUGGUUUAAAUUACAUUUAUAAAUUACAUUUAUUAAAUUACAUGUAUUAAAUUACAUUUAUUAAAUUACAUUUAUUAAAUUACUGGAUGGAUGGUUUAAAUUACAUUUAUAAAUUACAUUUAUUAAAUUACAUUUAUAAAUUACAUUUAUUAAAUUACUGGAUGGAUGGUUUAAAUUACAUUUAUAAAUUACAUUUGUUAAAUUACAUUUAUUAAAUUAAAUGUAUUAAAUUACAUGUAUUAAAUUACAUUUAUUAAAUUACUGGAUGGAUGGUUUAAAUUACAUUUAUAAAUUACAUUUAUUAAAUUACAUGUAUUAAAUUACAUUUAUUAAAUUACAUUUAUUAAAUGACUGGAUGGAUGGUUUAAAUUACAUUUAUAAAUUACAUUUAUUAAAUUACAUUUAUAAAUUACAUUUAUUAAAUUACUGGAUGGAUGGUUUAAAUUACAUUUAUAAAUUACAUGUAUUAAAUUACAUUUAAUAAUGACAUUUAUUAAUUUACAUGUAUUAAUUUACAUGUAUUAAAUUACAUUUAUAAAUGACAUGUAUUAUAUCUCAUGGGGAUGAGUCUGAGAAUAUGUAACUCUUCCAUCUAAUACCCAUAGUGCUAUACAUUUGAUUGUUAUUUGAUUACAAUAUCCAAAAUACAUGUUAUAAUUCAGCUGUAUUACCUCAAUAAAGCACAACUCAAACUUGGACAGCCUAAUAUUUUAACUUGGAACAACGAACAAACUACAAUCAGUAGAAUACUAGAGGUGACCUGAUUCUACAGAGCUGGUGUCAGAAUACUAGAGGUGACCUGAUUCUACAGAGCUGGUGUCAGACUACUAGAGGUGACCUGAUUCUACAGAGCUGGUGUCAGAAUACUAGAGGUGACCUGAUUCUACAGCGCUGGUGUCAGACUACUAGAGGUGAACUGAUUCUACAGAGCUG